UUAAAUUGAAGAGUUUGAUCAUGGCUCAGAUUGAACGCUGGCGGCAGG
rnacentral:rRNA from 3 species